CCCUGACACUAAUGAGCCAAAACAAUAAGACCACCCCACGUGUAGUGAAUAAUGUUAACAAUCUAGUAAAAACGGUCAAGGUCUGGAAUAUAUUAGAUGGCAGGAUAGCCUUCGUUCUCCCCCCGCAUCGACGACUCCUGGCCACCCAACACCCUGUCAGCAGUUCAUGGUUUUUCCCUCCCUGGACCACUCUGAGAACCUGCAGAGAGAGGAGUUUUUAGUAUGGAAGCAGAACCUGAACACGCUUGUUGAGCUGCGUCCACAGAAGGGGACCCGAAGACGUUAACAGGACCUGGGCCGGUUUUAGGACGCAUUAACGCUGGGGAACCGCUGUUUACAAUUUCACCAUUUAUGAUUUUUUUUUUGGCGUGACAUUGCUGUGUUGUCAAGGAAACUGGAUUGAUUCUCAUUCUCAAAAAUGGGUUUUGCAUGA